rnacentral:rRNA from 1 species
AUUGAACGCUGGCGGCAGGCCUAACACAUGCAAGUCGAACGAGUGGCGGACGGGUGAGUAAUGUCUGGGAAACUGCCUGAUGGAGGGGGAUAACUACUGGAAACGGUAGCUACUACCGCAUAACAUCAGCUGUGCCCAGAUGGGAUUGGCUAGUUGGUGGGGUAACGCCUCACCAAGGCGAAGAUCCCUAGCUGGUCUGAGAGGAUGACCAGCCACACUGGAACUGAGACACGGUCCAGACGCCGACGGGGGGCAGCAGGGGGGAAUAUUGCACAAGGGGCGCAAGCCUGAGGCAGCCAUGCCGGGUGUAUGAAGAAGGCCUUCGGGUUGUAAAGUACGUGCAGCGGGGAGACGUUACCCGCAGAAGAGGCACCGGCUAACUCGGUGCCAGCGCCCGCGUAAUUC